rnacentral:rRNA from 1 species
UACGUAGGACAACGACGUUGUCCGGAAUCAUUGGGCGUAAAGCGCGCGUAGGUGGCCAUUUAAGUCCGCUGUGAAAGUCAGAGGCUCAACCUUUGAAAGCCGGUGGAUACUGGAUGGCUAGAGUACGGAAGAGGCGAGUGGAAUUCCUGGUGUAGCGGUGGAAUGCGCAGAUAUCAGGAGGAACACCAAUAGCGAAGGCAGCUCGCUGGGACGUUACUGACACUAAGGCGCGAAAGCGUGGGGAGCGAACAGG